UUACAAGAGGCGUGAUAAGUGUUAUGUUUUACAGCUUAGAUUAUUCAAUGAUUAUGAUGAUGUUAUUGUUUUUCUCAUAUUGUUUUCAUAAAUUCCACCAAGGUAAGUGGAUGGUAAAUGUUUUCAUGUUAAUAAGCGAGUUUGUUGUAAAUUAUGCUCCAUUGGUCUUUUUGUGGUUUUCUACCCACCUUUAUCUCCGUGACGGUGAGAUAU
rnacentral:lncRNA from 1 species